rnacentral:rRNA from 1 species
AACGAACGCUGGCGGCAUGCCUAACACAUGCAAGUCGAACGAUCCCUUCGGGGAUAGUGGCGCACGGGUGCGUAACGCGUGGGAACCUGCCCUUAGGUUCGGAAUAACUCAGAGAAAUUUGAGCUAAUACCGGAUAAUGUCUUCGGACCAAAGAUUUAUCGCCUUUGGAUGGGCCCGCGUUGGAUUAGCUAGUUGGUGGGGUAAAGGCCUACCAAGGCGACGAUCCAUAGCUGGUCUGAGAGGAUGAUCAGCCACACUGGGACUGAGACACGGCCCAGACUCCUACGGGAGGCAGCAGUGGGAAUAUUGGACAAUGGGCGAAAGCCUGAUCCAGCAAUGCCGCGUGAGUGAUGAAGGCCUUAGGGUUGUAAAGCUCUUUUACCCGGGAUGAUAAUGACAGUACCGGGAGAAUAAGCCCCGGCUAACUCCGUG